rnacentral:rRNA from 1 species
UACGAAGGGGGCAAGCGUUGUUCGGAUUUACUGGGCGUAAAGCGUACGUAGGCGGAUGAUUAAGUCAGGGGUGAAAUCCCGAGGCUCAACCUCGGAACUGCCUUUGAUACUGGUCAUCUUGAGUCCGGGAGAGGUGAGUGGAACUCCUAGUGUAGAGGUGAAAUUCGUAGAUAUUAGGAAAGAACACCAGUGGCGAAGGCGGCUCACUGGUCCGGUACUGACGCUGAGACGCGAAAGCGUGGGGAGCGAACGAGGAUU